CAGAGGAGCCAAGCGUUGUCCGGAUUGACUGGGCGUAAAGCGCACGCAGGCGGACGCGCGCGUGGGGUGUGAAAUCUGGCCGCUUAACGGCCAGGCGCCAUCCCAUACGGCGCGUCUGGAGUGAUGCAGAGGUCGAUGGAAUUGCCGGUGUAGUGGUGAAAUGCGUAGAGAUCGGCAGGAACACCCAGGGGGAAACCAGUCGACUGGGCAUCUACUGACGCUGAGGUGCGAGAGCGUGGGGAGCGAACCGGAUUAGAUACCCGGGUAGUCCACGCCGUAAACGAUGGCCACUCGGCCUUUGGUGACGGAACCUCCCGUCGCUGGGGGCCUUAGCUAACGCGGGAAGUGGCCCGCCUGGGAACUACGAGCGCAAGCUUA
rnacentral:rRNA from 1 species